rnacentral:lncRNA from 1 species
UCCUUCUACCUCUUUGUAGUACAGAGUGGUACAGUUGCAACAGCAGAGGAGUUGUUCCUGACUUCUGGUCUUCAUCCUGCCUCAUGCUAGCAGUAUGACUUUAGGUCUGAAGCAAAGUAUCUGUGCCUGACUCUUACAGGAUUGUGAAAAGUAAAGAGGUUAACAUAUGGCCAAUGCUUUAAACUCUGUGGUGAAGAUGCCAGAGAGUAAUAUUCUACAGAUGGGAAAACUGAGUCCCCGAGAAGCAAACAGGCUUGACUUAAAUCAUGUGACAAUGUUUCACUCUGCCACCCAGACUGGAGCGCAGUGGCAUGAUCUUGGGUUACUGCAACCUCCACCUCCUGGAUUCAAGUGAUUCUCCUGCCUCAGCCUCCCGAGUAGCUGGGAUUAUAGGUGUGAGCCACCACACCCGGCCUAUAUGCAUUAUCUCAUUUAACCAACAUAAUAAUUCUAUGAGGCUUAUAAGCUAUAUUUUUUAAGAUGAGAAAAUGGGCUUAGAUAACUUGAAAGAUAGCGUAGUCACUAGGAGCUUGUGCUCUGUGGCCAGACUUUGUGUGUUUGAAUCCCAGGUCCUCCAGUUCUGAGCUGUAUGACAUUGCGCAAGUGACUUAAUUGCUGUCUCAUGUAUAAAGUGGUGUGAAAAUAAGUACUUAUCAUCAUUGUGAUAAUUAACUAAAUUAAUAGACUCAAAGCCUUGAGAAGAGUGCCCAGCACACAGUAAGCACUUGAUAAAUUACUUGGUGAAUACCCAUCAAGAUUAUAAACACAAUUAAAAACAGUGUAGUGGCAGACCUGGGCCUAGAACUCAGGUCUCUCUGAAGCCGGCGACUUUUCCCUCACCCUUUCACUCUACUGCCUAUAGAAGGAAAAGAGAGAGGAUGUGGCCGGGAAAGGCAGAAGCAAUGUUCUGAAGCGAUUUCUAGCUGCUCAGCAAUAGGAGAGCACCAGAAAGGGAAUUUCUUCCACAUUCCACCCCUGGCCCAUUCUCACCCUCACUGAUUGUAUUUAUUUUAUUUUGAUUAUUUCCAAUUGCUAUCACGGAAAGCCAAAAAUAAGAGUAGCACAACAGUACAUCCUUACUUUUGUGCUGUCUUGGUAAUGCUGUCCGUUAGUGGUAUAUCCUCCCUACCAAUUCUUGCCUGUCCUUUGCAUCCAAUGCUUCUCUUGUCAAAAAGAGAAAAGAAAGAUGGUUUUCCUGAUGUUUCUCAUGAGCAAAUAGCUUCAGAGGGAAAUAUCAUCAAUUCUAUUCAGGGUUUUAAAGGCAUGGGCAUUUAAAUGUUGAAAGGGCACUGUCUAAUGCAAUUUUCUUGACAUAACCCUUUGGACUUGGCUUCAGUUUUGAUGAAACCCACAGGAAAGCUCUCAUCAGCGGCUUGGACAGACAGCUCUUCUCUCACAGCCCUGCCGGAUCAUCUGCACAGGGAGUGGAGGAUGAAUCACGUCCUCUUAUGCUUGCAGCUACCAGCGGUACUCUGGUGGCAGCAAAGUCCAAGGCUCUCUGUAAGACUCCAAGUAAGUUGGAGGUCCCACAUCUGUUACAGAGGGAGUUGUAAAACUCAUGCUACCAGUUUAGAGGACUAAGGCAGCUAUUAAGAUUUUUAUUUUAAUAAUGAUUUAAUUUUUUAAAACUCAGGACCAUAAGAAAAUGUUCACAUGAAUGUAUUUAGAAGGUUUUCAAGUUUUAAUGCAAGAAAUUCAAUGGAUUCAGUCCUGCUGUCAGGCUUCAGCUGAGAUCACAUCCUCUUUGAUUCUCCAGUAUGGGCUGAGAAACACCCUUAUGGGAGUAUGGCUGUUAAAAUGAUACAGGCAAGGGCCUGCCCAGCAGUUGUUGGAAUGUCUUUCCUGGGGCCAGAAGCAUCUUGUUGUUCUGCUGCAGAUGGUUACCACUUUGCCUCAGCCCCCACAGGUUAAAGACCCAGCAAAGACCUCCUACCUGUUGGGUAGGAAACCUGGACUUACAGAUUUGAGUUGCCAAAGGGACACCAAUUUGGACACACUGUGAUUAUUUCUAUAUUACAGCCAAGCCUCCAGAACGGGUGGGUAAUGCUUCAAUUUUCUGGAAGAGGAUACAUUCAAAAAGUGACCUCCUCAAGGACCUUCUUAGUUCAGCCAGUGGUCAGUUGUACUAUCUAGUCUUUGUGUUUUUUGCAAAAGUAUAUAUUGACUGGAUAUAAAUUAAUAUGUGUUAAUGAUACAGGAAAUAGAAAUAAAUUAUUUAGGCAGAUAGUGAGGGUAAGAGAGUCCUUGGCAAGGCUUCCCUUUUAACACAAAGCAACCCCCAAAUCAUUUCUUUUCUAACAAAGAGCAGCCUGAAAAAUUGAGCUGCGGACAUAGAUAAGCAAGCUGGAAGCUUGCACAGGUAAAUGCCAGCAUCUGUGCCAACAAAGUAGGGCUACCUGGAAGCCAGGUAUGUUCAGCAUGGAGUCUUCAUCUUCCCUUUUCUUUGUCACCACCUGUGCAGUAAAGAACCAGGCAACAUGGCACCGGCCAGGUAGAUAACCCAUCUGCAUAAUAAAAGAUUAGGGUGCGGCGGUCCACUUCUUUGUGCACUAUGUAAAUGGCACACCUGGUCCGACCAAUCUUUUGUGCCCUAUGUAAGUCAGACACGGCCUCCUCAAGCUCAUCAAUAAAACCUUCUGCAUUUCACUACGGAAGGGGCAACCUGUUUUUCCAGGACCUCUCUUUCUGCAGCAGAGAGAGCUCUUCUCUUUCUUUUGCAUAUUAAACUUCCACUCUGAACCUCACUCUGUGUGUGUACGUAUCCGUCCUAGUUUUCCGUGGCCAUCAGACAAUGAAUCUUGGGUAUUUACCCCAGACAAAUGACACCGCUUCAUUAAUGUUGGAGCAAAGUGACCCCACAUUUUAUGCAUGGAGUCCAAGAACUUAGCCUUCACUGGCAGACCACAGAGAACACUGAAAGAAUCUGCGGCACAGUGUCCAGGGAUGUUUAGACUCCAUUACCCACCUGUCCCCAACAUGGCCAAUGUUUACUGGAACAAACCUGGGAGCUACUCAAUGUUUUUACUUCAGAAGCUUUGUUGGAAGUGUUUCAAUGGCUCGAGGUUGGCUGCACGAUUUCCUCAGGCCUUGAACAGACCUGUUAUCUACAAAUUCAGCAUGUUCUACCCAACAUCUAGAAUCAUUUAGUCCAAACUCCUGCCCAGUGGGGAAAUCUCUUCCACAAUAAUUCUGAUACUGAAUAUACCCCAGGGCAGCACUCACUAUGCACAGGGUUUGAGAGAAUAAAUAAUCUUUACACUGGAUCAAAGCUUCUUAAGUGAAAAAUGAUAAAAAUGUGAGGUUGAUUCAUCAAUCCACUGUUAAUUCCAGGCUACUAUCCAAUUUGCUAUUAUGUUUGAUCUGGCUUGCUUUUCUGCUGUCUUUAUAAACGCCUCUUUAGAGCUGGGAGUGUGUGUGGAAUUAUAUUUAUGUUAAUUUUCAUACUUCAUAGUAAGCUCAAUCAAAGAGUUGUUUUUUGCUUGAGAGAAGUUAAAACUAACAAUCUAAAUGAAACAAUGGAGUCAUCUACGCAUUUUUCUUAUGCACGCUGUUGUCACUGCCAAUGUUGCUGGUGGGCAAAAUUUAUGAUCGGAGGCUACUAAGGUUUCCUAAUCAGCAAGGCACUUCUUCCCGUACCUUUUUCUCCUAGAAGUGUGAAAAAGUCACUUUACAUGCUGUUGGAAAAAUGUCUAUUUGUCCCGUAGAGAAGUUCGCCAAAACCUAUUAUCUGUUGAAUAACCAAGACUUGUCUAAGGUAAAAUUGCGUUCCAAAACAUUUGGUCUCAAUCAGAGACACACUUGUGCUCAUUUGCUUAAAACUGGGUGCAAGUUUCCAGGAUAUUUGAAUGGAGGCUUCUGUAUUAUCAUCCAAGCUAUUAUUGGCUUCUCAUGUCCCUAGAUCUUUUAAGUAUUCAUCUUUGAUUUAGACAUUGGCAAUUCUCACCCUAAAAAGAAAAUGUUUUAAAACUGUUUUUCCUAUCAAUGGGUGAAAUAUCAUGUAGCCCAUUUCCCCAUGAAAACAAUGCUGCUAGUCAGAGUUUCUCUUUGUUCCAGGUUUUUCACGUUAACGUGGUCUGCGUAGUAAAAUCGUUACUAGUGAAGGGGGUGCCAGAUUUGUGGCACGGCCCUAACACACGUACAUUAGUGAGACCACACACAGAUCAAAAAGAUAAAGGCACGCAUUGCUUUUGAGCAAUGACCCGUGUGCCAAAAAUGAGGUUUCACAUACAAGAGACCAGAAGAAUGUAAAGGUUUUAGUCUCAGGGAAUCAAGAGUUUCAUUUUUUGUUCUAGUCUAUGUUUUAAAAGGAUGAUAGGACAUUAUUUAGCCCCUUUGAUUGUUCUUGUUUCACUAUUUGUAACUGAAAAAGAAAAACAAAAUGCCUUCUUCCUCCCUCCGGUAGCCACUAUAAGAAGUGCAGCGACACAGUGAAGGGCUAGGAACUUUGGCUGGGGGGCCAUACUGGCUGGGCUCACUUCUGCACUCCUCACUGUGUAACUUAGAGUCUCAGUUUUCUGUAAAACAGGAACAAUAGCUGCAACUACUUCAUGAGGUUGUUGUGAGAAUUAACUGAAAUAAUACAGGUGCUCAGCACAGUACAUGGACCCUAGUAGGGUUUCAAUUGCUAUUGUUACAGUAAAAUGUUAUUAUAAUAACAUCAUUAUGCUCCGAAAAUUAAAUUGCAUAAAAUGUGGCAUCAAUUUGCCCCCAAAUUAAUAAAUAUUAAUAUAUUCUUAGUCAAUCUGUACUGUUGCAAAAAGCACAAAGAAGAUUAGAUAGUACAACUGACCACUCGCUCUAUGAGGAGGUCACCUCUUGAAGACAUCCUGUUCCAGAAAAUCAAAGAGUCACCCACCCAUUCUCCAGCUCUUUAUAGGGGUUGGGCUGGAGUAUAGGUACAAUCACUGUGUGUGCAAAUUGACUUAAUUAGGGAGGGGAGGCAUUAUUCAAGGUGUUACUUGUUCAAUUAUUAAGGUUGUUGUCUCAAACCUGCUUUUAACCUUUCUAGUCAGUGACUGUUAACCCUGGAUGCACAUUAGAAUUACCCAAGGAGCUUUAAAGACAUAGUGAUAUCUGGCCCAAGAUAGGAGCAGCAAAAUAUAAUUACUCAGACUUGAGUUCAGAUCUUGUUACCAUCACUUUUUAGUCAUGUGACCUUUGACAAACUAUUAACCUCUCUGUUGGCUGAUCUGUGGGAUGAGUGGCGGGCGGGGGGCGUCAUUGUAGGGACUAAACCAUGUAUUUAAAGCUCUGGGCACACAUCUUGGCAUGUAGCAGGUAUCCAGUAAAUACUUGGUAUUAGAAACCUAUUUUCUCUGAAGACCCCAGCCCAAAGGGUCCCCCCACCUCCACUGAACUCAGUUAUGAAAAUUUUACCUUGAAAUAUAGUCUUGGGCAAAAACUAAGGAAGGUUUCUUAUUUUACGAAUGAGAAAACUAAAGCACAAAAGAGUUGUUCAAAGUUACAUGGCUAAUAAUAAACUAGAAUCUGAACCCAGGUCUCCUAAUUCUUUGACUAUUGUUUUUCUUCCUAUUCCAUAGUUCUUAAUCACAUAACCCCAGAAGCCUCAAAUUCUGGCCCUGGAUGCCGGCAUCAGCCUCAUAUUUUUCCAGUCCCUUCCAGCCUUAGCUUUGUGGUGCAGCAACACCAAAUUGCUGUUUUCUGAUACUCAUAAUUACUGUUUCUCACCUAUUUGCCUUGGCUUAUGUGAUCAUCCCUGCCCUGCCUGAAAUGCUCUCCUUGCCUUGGUUUUCUAGCAACUACACUAACUUCUGCUGCUGACCAUCAAUGAUUAACUGCUACAGCAAUUGUCUUCCCAUUUUAAACAGUUAGAAAUGAGACAAAACGUCAGACAUCGGACAACAAGAUUUUAAUCCCUGUGAGUAGGAAAAUAAAUGGGAUGAGCCCUGUGAUUGCCACACCUUAUACCUGGAGGCAGUUUCCAGGAUACUACCCAUGGUGGAAUAACCAAAACAGCCUAGUGGUCUUGCUAAGUUGAAGAGACAGAGUUUAAAGUCUGGGGAGACUGAGGAGGCUAGAAUUUGCAGGGGAGUUUACCAGAAAGAGGAAACUAGAUAGAAAGGAAGCUCUGGAGAUCUGCAGAGCACUUACCCCAUGUCUUUGGAUGAGUUUUAUUGAUCUGCAUGUGCUCGUGAAGACACUAUGAAGACUGCGGUGAAGAACUCCCUGAAAGCACAGGCUGAACAAUACCUAGAGCUUACAGAGGACCGGGAAUACUUCGUGUUUCUACCAGCCUGAGUGGAGAAACCUCAAAAUACAUAGUGCAUUGGGUGAAGUCCUCAGAUGUGCCAUGCCUUAGUAGUGGAGUAAAUUAGUCCUAUAAUAAAAGCUGCUCUGGAACCACCAUACAAAAUGUAAAAAUGAGCCUUUCAUGAAUCAAACUGAUCUGCCACGAAAUCCAAUGUUCUUUAAAGAAGAGAACACAAUCCAGCACCCAAUAAAAUAAAAUUAACGAUAUCUGUAAUUCAAAUAGUAAUUUGUAGAUAUACCAGAAAGUGUAAAAAUGUGAUUUAUAACAAGAGAGAAAUUAAUCAGUAGAAAUAGAUCAAGAAAUGACAGAGAUAAUGGAAUUAGUAGGCAAGGACCUUAACAAAGUUUAUCCUAUGUUUAAGGAUGUAAAAGAGAACAUAAACACUAUGAAUAGGGAGUAAAACAUAUUAAAAAGACCCAAAUGAAACUUAUAGAGAUGGAAAUAUGAAAUAAAAAAUAAGCUGGAUAGGAUUACCAGCAUCUUAUAUGAUGCAGAAGAAAAAGUCACUGUACCUGAAGACAUAGCAAUAGUAACUAUCCAAAAUGAAUCACAGGUUGGAAAAAAAAAAAAAGGCCAGGCACGGUGGCUCAUGCCUGUAAUCCCAGCACUUUGGGAGCUGAGGAGGGUGGAUCACUUGAGGUCAGGAGUUUGAGACUAGCCUGGCCAACAUAGAGAAACCCCAUCUCUACUAAAAAUACAAAAAUUAGCCAGGCAUGGUGGUUGGUGCCUGUAAUUUCAGCUAUUUGGGAAACUGAGGAGGAGAAUUGUUUAAA